CCCGACCCCACCGGUGGCGCAUUUUUCCAGCAACGACUGAAACUGAAAAAGCGGAAUUGGGAAUCCGAGGAACACGAAUGCUCGCCAAAGCAAAACGGACAAAAAUUGGCGCAAAUUUACUCGCGAGGCGCAACCAGUGACGUCGUCGUCGGGGCUUUUUUUCAGUGCGUGAGUGCUUUUUUAGCCGACCGGCAAAUUUUUAUUCCUUAAAUUGGGCUAGAAAAAAAUAAUAAAAUAACUAGUAGGCGCCACCGGACAUAAAAAUCGGGCAUUAUUCUGCUAUUUCGAUGGAAAAUGAUUUUUUUUUUUUUGACUGAGAGAAGAGAACCAGACCUAGCACUCGCUGACUCGCGUCUCGCUGGAUGGGUCGUCUGCCGGCCCGCCUGCACGCACGCAAAACGCCACUGACUACCCUAUUGCCAUCUCACUCGAAUCCGUGCUAACGUGUCGGUGUUGUGUGUGAGUGUUCUCUGUGUAUGUGCAACAAACAACGGCUGCCGCUAUAAGAGAAAAAAAAAAUUUUUAUGUGCAAUGUUAGAGCGGCAAACGGCGGCAGCAGCAACAGCAGCAA